rnacentral:lncRNA from 1 species
GUGAGUCCAUGAUAACCUUUUCUGACAUAAACUACAAGAAACAUGUACUAUAUAAUAUGAUAAAGUAGGUCAUACAAUUAAUGACGUGUGGCUCAAUUUGAUGGAUCAACAGGCUCCAAAACUGUUCAACUCGACUGCUAUCUGAUAAAGAAAAAUGUGAAAAAAUAUAUGAGCUAAGCUCAAUGAGUUGAUAAUUUGCAAUGAGUAUAUUUUUUCCAUUUAUGUAUUUUUUCUAAAAAUUCAUGUUAUAUUAAAACUUUAAGAAAUUUUGAAAUUUGGUAGCACUUUUAAAAUUCAACAUGAUUGCAUUAUAAAAUUCUUUAUCUUUAAUUCUAGAUAAGUAACUGUAAGGUUUAAUAAAUAUAAAUAACUUGAUAUUAAUAAUUAUAAGUGAAAAUAUCCUUUCACAGAAUUAUAAGCUGAAAAUCAUCACUCUGAAAACUAAAUAAGCUAAAUUCGGUAGUCUGAAAUUUGAUAAGCUAAUAAUACUGAAAAAUUACAUAAAAAACGUAUCCGAAAUAACCUUACUUAUGUAUCGAUUAGUACCGAUAUACAUGGCAAAAUUAUUCAAUUAUUCAAUUCUGACUGUACACUAUGGAAACACAUUCACCAUAGUGCAGAGCGGGUAAAAUCAUCAUAGCUGAUGAUACACUAUGGAAACAAAUUCACACUAAUGCAGAAUAGGGUAAAAUUACAUGGGUACUUUUUGAUAGUUUUAAAAAUAACUUUAAAUAUGCUAAAAUAUUUAACAUUCAUAUAACAUGCUAAUCAAAAGAUUUAACUGAAUUUAAUUUAAUUUUAAAGAAACAACUGAUUAUAAAUUCACUUUAAUUUGAAAAUCACGCUAUCAAAUCAACUGUAUGAAAUAAUAAAUUUUCUGAUCUAAUAUAAAUUUGAUAAAUACUAAUUUCUGAAAAAUAAGUUUAUAUUCACUCACAAGUCUAGCUACAAGCUAUGAAAGUCGAUCAACUUUUUCAAUCUUCUCGUUACCACUUGAAAUACGAUACAAGAUAACCAAUUUAACCACUAUCAAAUCAAGAAAUCUUUUAUCUCUAAUUAUAUAAUAGUUAAACUAAAUUUCUCGAUUCUUAAAUAAAUUUUCCAUAUUAUCCUUUAUUAAUUGGAGGUAAUUCCUCCCUCUAGUCCUUUUAAUAAAUAACCAAUUUUUCAAAAUAACCUUCAUGCAAAGCAUAAAAAUGAUUAUCCCAUCUACCAUUUAGUGAAAACUUGGAAUCACACUUGCCCCAAUUUUAAUAUACAUCUUAUUCAAUAAAAUCAUUCUUUCAAGUGAACAAUUCCAUCAACAUAAUCGUUUUCACAAUUAAUCCUUACUCAAGCAUCCAUUUAAAAUCUAGGGUUUGCCAAAAAUUGGUAUUCUUACCUAAAUAAAAUUGGAAAUUAAAAAAUCAACAAACUUGAGCUCCAAUUUGUACUCUUAUCCUCCUAAAUCUGAAAUUUAUACGACAAGUUAAAACCCUAGAAAUUUAACGUAAAAUUAUUUCUUUACCUCUUGAAGAAAAUAAAGAGAAAUGAGAACGGAAACAAGUUUGAACUACCUAGUUUCCUUCCCUCUUCUCCUCCUCUUUUUCCUUUACUUUCUUUCUUCCUUUCUCUUUUCUUUUCUUUCUUCUUUUUCCUCUUUCCUUCUCUUCCGUUUUCCAGCCCCUUCG